UUAAACUGAAGAGUUUGAUCCUGGCUCAGAUUGAACGCUGGCGGCAUGCCUUACACAUGCAAGUCGAACGGCAGCACGGAGCUUGCU
rnacentral:rRNA from 1 species